GGAUGUGUGAUGCAACGGUAGCAUAACAGCCUUCCAAGCUGUAAACCUGGGUUCGACUCCCAGCACAUUCA
rfam:Paramecium bursaria Chlorella virus FR483, complete genome.